rnacentral:ncRNA from 1 species
UGUCGCUUGGCAAAAAUUAAGCCGAAAUCUGGAUUAGUCUAGUAGCUCCGCAUGAGCGAAAAAUUAAUAGGCAAAAAAAGAU